UACGGAGGGUGCAAGCGUUAUCCGGAUUCACUGGUUUAAAGGGUGCGUAGGCGGGUAAGUAAGUCCGUGGUGAAAUCUCUGAGCUUAACUCAGAAACUGCCGUGGAUACUAUUUGCCUUGAAUAUUGUGGAGGUGAGCGGAAUAUGUCAUGUAGCGGUGAAAUGCUUAGAUAUGACAUAGAACACCAAUUGCGAAGGCAGCUCACUACACAAUCAUUGACGCUGAGGCACGAAGCGUGGGAUCAAACAGG
rnacentral:rRNA from 1 species